AGAGUUUGAUCAUGGCUCAGAACGAACGCUGGCGGCAGGCCUAACACAUGCAAGUCGAACGGAUGUAGCAAUACAUUAGUGGCGCACGGGAGAGUAACGCGUGGGAACCUACCUUUUGGUUUGGGAUAACGUCGGGAAACUGACGCUAAUACCAGAUAAGCCCUCCGGGGGAAAGAUUUAUCGCCGAUAGAUGGGCCCGCGUUAGAUUAGCUAGUUGGUGAGGUAAUGGCUCACCAAGGCGACGAUCUAUAACUGGUCUGAGAGGAUGACCAGUCUCACUGGGACUGAGACACGGCCCAGACUCCUACGGGAGGCAGCAGUGGGGAAUAUUGGACAAUGGGGGCAACCCUGAUCCAGCCAUGCCGCGUGAACGAUGAAGGCCUUCGGGUUGUAAAGUUCUUUUGGUGGGGACGAUGAUGACGGUACCCACAGAAUAAGCACCGGCUAACUUCGUGCCAGCAGCCGCGGUAAUACGAAGGGUGCUAGCGUUGUUCGGAAUUACUGGGCGUAAAGGGCGCGUAGGCGGUUUAACAAGUUGGGUGUGAAAGCCCAGGGCUCAACCCUGGAACUGCACUCAAGACUGUUUUACUUGAAUUCGGUAGAGGUUGGUGGAAUUCCCAGUGUAGAGGUGAAAUUCGUAGAUAUUGGGAAGAAUAUCCGUGGCGAAGGCGGCCAACUGGACCGACAUUGACGCUGAGGCGCGAAAGCGUGGGGAUCAAACAGGAUUAGAUACCCUGGUAGUCCACGCUGUAAACGAUGCAUGCUAGACGUUGGAAACCUCAGGUUUCUU
rnacentral:rRNA from 1 species